rnacentral:rRNA from 1 species
UUUAACUGAGCGUUCAGUUACUUGACGUAGACCCGAAACCGGGCGACCUACCCAUGAGCAGGAUGAAGCGAAAGUAAAAUUUCGUGGAGGUCCGAACCCACGAGCGUUGAAAAGCUCGGGGAUGACUUGUGGGUAGCGGUGAAAUUCCAAUCGAGCCCGGAGAUAGCUGGUUCUCCCCGAAAUAGCUUUAGGGCUAGCCUCAAGGUGAGAGAUACGGAGGUAGAGCACUGAAUGUCCUAGGGGGUAUUGCACCUACCGAAGACUAUCAAACUCCGAAUGCCGUCAUCUUAUACUUGGGAGUCAGACUGUGGGUGAUAAGAUUCAUAGUCGAAAGGGCAACAGCCCAGAUCGUCAGCUAAGGUCCCUAAAUGUAAGUUAAGUGGUAAAGGAUGUGGGAUUGCACAGACAACCAGGAUGUUGGCUUAGAAGCAGCCACUCAUUCAAAGAGUGCGUAAUAGCUCACUGGUCGAGUGAUCCUGCGCCGAAGAUUUCCGGGGCUAAAACUUACUACCGAAGCUACGGCAUCAGUAAUGAUGGGUAGGGGAGCUUCCCAUACGGGUUGAAGCAUGACCGUAAGGACAUGUGGACAGUAUGGGAGUGAGAAUGUUGGCAUGAGUAGCGA